rnacentral:rRNA from 1 species
GGAUGAACGCUGACAGAAUGCUUAACACAUGCAAGUCGAUGGGGAAGCGGCGCUUGCGCCGUGGCAACCAUGGCGGACGGGUGAGUAACGCGUAAAGAACUUGCCGGAUGGACCGGGAUAACAGCUGGAAACGGCUGGCAAGACCGGAURCURUGGGCUGGCCGCAUGGCUGGCCCAUGAAAAGGGAUGCCGUCCGAGAGCUUUGCGUCCUAUUAGCUGGUUGGUAAGGUGAYGGCUUACCAAGGCGAUGAUAGGUAGCCGGCCUGAGAGGGUGGACGGCCACAAGGGGACUGAGAUACGGCCCUUACUCCUACGGGAGGCAGCAGUGGGGAAUAUUGGACAAUGGGGGCAACCCUGAUCCAGCAAUUCUGUGUGCACGAAGAAGGUUUUCGGAUCGUAAAGUGCUUUCAGCAGGGAGGAAGGAAGUGACUGUACCUGCAGAAGAAGCGACGGCUAAAUAC